CUAUGCGCCUUGCCAGCCCGCUCAGUGUGCCAGCAGCCGCGGUAAUACAGAGGUCUCAAGCGUUGUUCGGAAUCACUGGGCGUAAAGCGUGCGUAGGCGGUUUCGUAAGUCGUGUGUGAAAGGCGGGGGCUCAACCCCCGGACUGCACAUGAUACUGCGAGACUAGAGUAAUGGAGGGGAACCGGAAUUCUCGGUGUAGCAGUGAAAUGCGUAGAUAUCGAGAGGAACACUCGUGGCGAAGGCGGGUUCCUGGACAUUAACUGACGCUGAGCACGAAGGCCAGGGAGCGAAAGGG
rnacentral:rRNA from 1 species